GAUCCGAUAGCAUAAUUGGGUAAUGCACCUGCUGGCAAUGUCUCGAUACCUACGUAAAGCAGGAGAUCUCCGUUCGAUUCGGGGUCAGGUCA